GCAGUUCGCAUCGUCGUCGCAAAAGCAGCGCAGCGGUCGUGAUGGUGGGUGGUGGAGGAAGA
rnacentral:snoRNA from 19 species